AAGUCGUAACAAGGUCUCCGUUGGUGAACCAGCGGAGGGAUCAUUACAAGAAGCCGAAAGGCUACUUAAAACCAUCGCGAACUUAUCCAAGUUGCUUCGGCGGCGCGGCUCCCCUCACCGGGCGCCGCAGCCCCGCCUCUCAGGAGGUAUGGGGCGCCCGCCGGAGGUACGAAACUCUGUAUUAUAGUGGUAUCUCUGAGUAAAAACAAAUAAGUUAAAACUUUCAACAACGGAUCUCUUGGUUCUG
rnacentral:misc_RNA from 1 species